ensembl:rRNA 5S_rRNA 5S ribosomal RNA
GCUUAUGGCCAUACCAGCCUGGCUAUGCCUGAUCUUGUCUGAUCUCGUAAGCUAAGCAGGUUUGGGCCUGGUUAGUGCCUGAAUGGGAGACCGCCUGGGAAUGCCAGGUACUGUAAGCU